AGAGUUUGAUCCUGGCUCAGGAUGAACGCUAGCGGCAGGCUUAACACAUGCAAGUCGAGGGGUAACAGGAGUAGCAGUACUUGCUGACGACCGGCGCACGGGUGAGUAACGCGUAUGCAACCUACCACUAACUGAGGAAUAGCCCGGAGAAAUCCGGAUUAAUACUUCAUAAUAUUUUGAAUUCGCAUGUUUUCGAAAUUAAAGCUUUGGCGGUUAGAGAUGGGCAUGCGUGACAUUAGUUAGUUGGUGAGGUAACGGCUCACCAAGACUGCGAUGUCUAGGGGGUCUGAGAGGAUGGUCCCCCACACUGGUACUGAGACACGGACCAGACUCCUACGGGAGGCAGCAGUGAGGAAUAUUGGGCAAUGGACGCAAGUCUGACCCAGCCAUGCCGCGUGCAGGAUGACUGCCCUAUGGGUUGUAAACUGCUUUUAUUUGGGAAGAAACCCCUGCUCGUGAGCGGGGCUGACGGUACCAAAAGAAUAAGCAUCGGCUAACUCCGUGCCAGCAGCCGCGGUAAUACGGAGGAUGCAAGCGUUAUCCGGAUUUAUUGGGUUUAAAGGGUGCGCAGGCGGGAAAUUAAGUCAGUGGUGAAAUCCUGCAGCUUAACUGUAGAAUUGCCAUUGAAACUGAUUUUCUUGAGUACAGUUGAGGUGGGCGGAAUGUGUAAUGUAGCGGUGAAAUGCUUAGAUAUUACACAGAACACCGAUUGCGUAGGCAGCUCACUAAACUGUUACUGACGCUCAGGCACGAAAGCGUGGGAGCGAACAGGAUUAGAUACCCUGGUAGUCCACGCCGUAAACUAUGAUCACUCGUUGUUGGCAAUAAACAGUCAGCGACUAAGCUAAAGCAAUAAGUGAUCCACCUGGGGAGUACGGUCGCAAGAUUGAAACUCAAAGGAAUUGACGGGGGCCCGCACAAGCGGAGGAACAUGUGGUUUAAUUCGAUGAUACGCGAGGAACCUUACCUGGGCUUAAAUGCAGAACGAUUUCCGCCGAAAGGUGGUUUCCUUCGGGCGUUUUGCAAGGUGCUGCAUGGUUGUCGUCAGCUCGUGCCGUGAGGUGUCGGGUUAAGUCCCAUAACGAGCGCAACCCCCAUCGUUAGUUGCCAUCGGGUAAUGCCGGGGACUCUAACGAAACUGCCGGUGUAAACCGUGAGGAAGGUGGGGAUGACGUCAAAUCAGCACGGCCCUUAUGUCCAGGGCUACACACGUGUUACAAUGGCCAGUACAAAGGGCAGCUACCUGGUGACAGGAUGCUAAUCUCUAAAACUGGUCCCAGUUCGGAUCGAAGUCUC
rnacentral:rRNA from 1 species